UACAGAGGUCUCGAGCGUUAGGCGGAAUCACUGGGCUUAAAGCGUGUGUAGGCGGAUCGUUAAGUGUCUUGUGAAAUCCCACGGCUCAACCGUGGAACUGCUGGGCAUACUGGACAUCUCGAGGCACUCAGGGGCGAGCGGAACAAGUGGUGGAGCGGUGAAAUGCGUAGAUAUCACUUGGAACGCCAAUGGUGAAGACAGCUCGCUGGGGGUGUCCUGACGCUGAGGCGCGAAAGCCAGGGGAGCGAACGGG
rnacentral:rRNA from 1 species